rnacentral:rRNA from 1 species
CUUGGUCAUUUAGAGGAAGUAAAAGUCGUAACAAGGUCUCCGUUGGUGAACCAGCGGAGGGAUCAUUACCGAGUUUACAACUCCCAAACCCAUGUGAACAUUACCUCUAUGUUGCUUCGGCGGAGCCGCCCCGGCGCCCGGAACCCCCUGCGGUCCCGCGGCCCGGAACCAAGGCGCCCGCCGGAGGCCACAAACUCUUCUGUUUUUACAGUUUCUUCUGAGUGUGCCGCAAGGCAGUAUACAAAUGAAUCAAAACUUUCAACAACGGAUCUCUUGGUUCUGGCAUCGAUGAAGAACGCAGCGAAAUGCGAUAAGUAAUGUGAAUUGCAGAAUUCAGUGAAUCAUCGAAUCUUUGAACGCACAUUGCGCCCGCCAGAAUUCUGGCGGGCAUGCCUGUUCGAGCGUCAUUUCAACCCUCGAGCUCCCCUUUCGGGGGGAGCCCGGCGUUGGGGACCCGGCGCUAACAACGCCGACCCCGAAAUGGAGUGGCGGCCCGUCCGCGGCGACCUCUGCGUAGUAACAACCACUCGCACCGGGACCCGGGCGCGGCCACGCCGUAAAACACCCCACCUUCCGAAUGUUGACCUCGAAUCAGGUAGGAAUACCCGCUGAACUUAAGCAUAUCAAUAAGCGGAGGA